ensembl:lncRNA
CAGACGCUGUGCUCUUUACUUCUAAGCCAUACUGCCUCAUUGUGAGGUCACCCUCAAUUAAAGGCAGCUCCCCCACUCCAAGAUCUCUCUUAGAUCUCUUCUCUCUGUUCCUUAUGGAAAAGAUUCCCAGACUUCAGUCUCUUCUCCAACACUAUCUGAGUCUCCACCAUCUUCUUCUCUGCAACAUGGUGACUGCUAAGGCUGCCGGGCAAGCCCUGAACAGCCACAUGGACCAAUCUGAACUCUUCACAUACUUGUAAAUGUUAUUGAGAUAUCCCACAGGAAAGCACGAUGAGCUACAGAGAGCAUCCCCUUGAAGUGGGAGAGCAGGAAGGCAUCAUAAUGACAUUCCUGACUUUUGAGCAAUUACCUGUUAAGCCUAUAAAAUUGAAGUUAUGAAGCCUCGCAGUUUAGUUAAUGCUUCCAGUUGAGCUGGGGGAAGAAACCAGGAAGCAGGAAACUGACUUCCUAAGCAGAUUUAGAGUGGGGGAGCACCCUUAACAGAUGGCAGUUUGACUCGUGGAAAAGUCAAUUGCUUCCUUUCAUUUCCAGCAGGCAUUGAGAAGAGCCGGACGAGCAGUUCACAGAGCAACCUGGAUAAAAUUCAGCUAAGUAUAGAGAGAGAACAAGGAACUUCUGAGCCAAGGCAGAUCAAAGGAUGUUUGAGGAUGGUUUAACAUUGGAACACUUCAGAAGUGUGAUGUGAGCUAUUCUGUCCACCUCCAGCCUCAAAUGCUUAUCCAGCAUUCGUGGAUAAGCUUUCACAUGCAACGUAAAAAUUAGAACUGGCUUUCCCAUUGCAUACCCUGUUAUUUCUUGUCUUUCAUUAAGCUGGCACCUGAGAGCAAAGAGAGAAGAAAAAUAUAGCGAUGAAGUUAAGCUGAUCUUUUGUGGAGCUGAGGCUCUUGUUAAAACUGACCUUUCAUCAUGGGUAGAGACUGUUUAAAAUGAUUAUUUCAAAUGGUAGCUUUGUUUCUCCUUACUGAACUCGUUUGCUGAUUAUCUCACUCUGGUUUGGAAUUUUCUGAAUGACUGAUCAAGGAAGAAUGAAUGGAGAAGUAGAAGAAUAAAACACCCUUGCUGGAGCCUCACUGCGGUGAGCUUGCGAUGCCAUAUUAAGCAGACAAGGAGGAAGAAGAAAGCUUUCUAUUUGGUGACCUUUUGAAGCUCACUAGUGUGCAAUAUGUUUCCAUCACGUUGAAAGCAUCUGACAAUAGAAACGUGCUAUGCAGUUUCUCUUUCUUUCUCUCUCUCUCUCUUUUUUUAACUGAAUGGCUGAGAUACAUCAUUCUGCUGUGUCUUGACCUUGAACAGAACACACUUGAAGUAUUUUAAAGCCAGAACAGAUGGAAGGGCUUCAGCUAAACUGAGUAAAACUGAGAAGACUUUUGGUCUCCAAAUUAAACUUAUUCACAGUAAGAUGGGAAGAGACAACUAUAAUUUUUUAUUUUUUAUUUUAAAAAAAUUUUUUGAGGAAGAUUAGCCCCGAGCCAACAUCUGCUGCCAAUCCUCCUCUUUUUGCUGAGGAAGACUGGCCCUGAGCUAACAUGCAUGCCCAUGUUCCUCUAGUUUAUAUGUAGGAUGCCUGCCACAGCAUGGCUUGACAAGCUGUGCGUAUGUCCACACCCAGGAUCCAAACCAGUGAGCCCUGGGAUGCCGAAGCAGAAUGUGCGAGCUUAACCACUGCACCAUUGGGCUAGUCCCCAGACAACUAUAAAAAUAAAUUAAAAAUGUAUGUAUCUCAAUAAAAUACAGAUACAGAUGAUUGAACAGCAACUGUAAUAUUGUAGUCAAAUUCCUUUUUAAAAAUGU